UACGGAGGGGGCUAGCGUUGUUCGGAAUUACUGGGCGUAAAGCGCGCGUAGGCGGCUUUGUAAGUUAGAGGUGAAAGCCCGGGGCUCAACCCCGGAACUGCCUUUAAGACUGCAUCGCUUGAAUCCAGGAGAGGUGAGUGGAAUUCCGAGUGUAGAGGUGAAAUUCGUAGAUAUUCGGAAGAACACCAGUGGCGAAGGCGGCUCACUGGACUGGUAUUGACGCUGAUGUGCGAAAGCGUGGGGAGCAAACAGG
rnacentral:rRNA from 1 species